rnacentral:misc_RNA from 1 species
GUUUGAACCUCCGAGCUAGCUGUAUCCUCCAUGGUUGUCAAGGAAAAUAUAUGAGAAAGCUAUAAUCGCUAAGAAAUUCCUUCAUGGUUGAAUUCUCCUUUCUUCAUUAAUUACUCAUCAGAAGAUGACAAGGAUUGUAGAAAGCCAGAAAGACAAGGAUUGCUGUCUGCUAUGAGUUCCCAUGUAACCCUAUUUGCAAGACCGUCUAAUCCAAAACCCUAGUCUGAAAGGAAAGAAACUUUUCACCUCUUAUCUUGUGGUAGAUCUAGCAGAA